rnacentral:rRNA from 1 species
UAUAAGACUGGGAUAACUUCGGGAAACCGGGGCUAAUACCGGAUAAUAUAUUGAACCGCAUGGUUCAAUGUUGAAAGACGGUUUCGGCUGUCACUUAUAGAUGGACCCGCGCCGUAUUAGCUAGUUGGUAAGGUAACGGCUUACCAAGGCAACGAUACGUAGCCGACCUGAGAGGGUGAUCGGCCACACUGGAACUGAGACACGGUCCAGACUCCUACGGGAGGCAGCAGUAGGGAAUCUUCCGCAAUGGGCGAAAGCCUGACGGAGCAACGCCGCGUGAGUGAUGAAGGUCUUAGGAUCGUAAAACUCUGUUGUUAGGGAAGAACAAAUUUGUUAGUAACUGAACAAGUCUUGACGGUACCUAACCAGAAAGCCACGGCUAACUACGUGCCAGCAGCCGCGGUAAUACGUAGGUGGCAAGCGUUAUCCGGAAUUAUUGGGCGUAAAGCGCGCGUAGGCGGUUUCUUAAGUCUGAUGUGAAAGCCCACGGCUCAACCGUGGAGGGUCAUUGGAAACUGGGGAACUUGAGUGCAGAAGAGGAGAGUGGAAUUCCAUGUGUAGCGGUGAAAUGCGCAGAGAUAUGGAGGAACACCAGUGGCGAAGGCGGCUCUCUGGUCUGUAACUGACGCUGAUGUGCGAAAGCGUGGGGAUCAAACAGGAUUAGAUACCCUGGUAGUCCACGCCGUAAACGAUGAGUGCUAAGUGUUAGGGGGUUUCCGCCCCUUAGUGCUGCAGCUAACGCAUUAAGCACUCCGCCUGGGGAGUACGACCGCAAGGUUGAAACUCAAAG